rnacentral:rRNA from 1 species
ACACCCCACAUCCGCCAGGGGACUACGAACGUUAGUUUGAAACCCAAAGGACUUGGCGGUGCUUUAUAUCCCCCUAGAGGAGCCUGUUCUAGAACCGAUGAUCCCCGUUCAACCUCACCCUCUCUUGCCCUGUCCCGCCUAUAUACCGCCGUCGUCAGCUUACCCUGUGAAGGCCCAAUAGUAAGCAAAAUCGGCAUUGCCCAAAACGUCAGGUCGAGGUGUAGCGAAUGAGAGGGGAAGAAAUGGGCUACAUUCGCUAACAACUAGCGUAAAACGGAUAUUACAUUGAAAUAUGUAGUUGAAGGAGGAUUUAGUAGUAAGCGGAAAGUAGAGCGUUUCGCUGAAAUCGGCCCUAAAGCGUGUACACACCGCCCGUCACCCUCUCCGACCUUUCACACUACCCAUUUAUCUAAAAACCCAUCAACCCUUUAAGGAGAGGAA